rnacentral:rRNA from 1 species
ACUCCUACGGGAGGCAGCAGUGGGGAAUCUUAGACAAAUGGGCGCAAGCCUGAUCUAGCCAUGCCGCGUGAGCGAUGAAGGCCUUAGGGUUGUAAAGCUCUUUGCAGCGAGGAAGAUAAUGACUGUACUCGCUAGAAGAAGCCCCGGCUAACUCCGUGCCAGCAGCCGCGGUAAUACGGAGGGGCUAGCGUUGUUCGGAAUUACUGGGCGUAAAGCGCACGUAGGCGGAUCAGAAAGUCAGAGGUGAAAUCCCAGGGCUCAACCCUGGAACUGCCUUUGAAACUCCUGAUCUUGAGGUCGAGAGAGGUGAGUGGAAUUCCGAGUGUAGAGGUGAAAUUCGUAGAUAUUCGGAGGAACACCAGUGGCGAAGGCGGCUCACUGGCUCGAUACUGACGCUGAGGUGCGAAAAGCGUGGGGAGCAAACAGGAUUAGAUACCCUGGUAGGCUCUG